rnacentral:misc_RNA from 1 species
GAACGCACCUUGCACCCUUUGGUAUUCCGAAGGGUAUGCUCGUUUGAGUGUCAUUGUAUUCUCACUUCCCGACAUUUGUUUGUUGUGGAAUGUGGACUUGGAUGUUGCCGUGUCAUUACGGCUCGUCUUAAAUGCCUGAGUGUACCUUGCUUUUGCAGUGUAUCCGGUGUAAUAAACAUUUCACCAGAGCCAGGUCGCAAGACCGCAUUGUCUAGUAAGCUCUAUGCUUUCAAACCGUCUUCGGACAAACUUCUGACAAUUUGACCUCAAAUCGGGUGGGACUACCCGCUGAACUUAAG